rnacentral:rRNA from 1 species
CUUGGGGGCAGCCUAAACAUGCAAGUCGAGCGGCAGCGGAAGUAGCUUGCUACUUUGCCGGCGAGCGGCGGACGGGUGAGUAAUGUCUGGGAAACUGCCUGAUGGAGGGGGAUAACUACUGGAAACGGUAGCUAAUACCGCAUAACGUCGCAAGACCAAAGAGGGGGACCUUCGGGCCUCUUGCCAUCAGAUGUGCCCAGAUGGGAUUAGCUAGUAGGUGGGGUAACGGCUCACCUAGGCGACGAUCCCUAGCUGGUCUGAGAGGAUGACCAGCCACACUGGAACUGAGACACGGUCCAGACUCCUACGGGAGGCAGCAGUGGGGAAUAUUGCACAAUGGGCGCAAGCCUGAUGCAGCCAUGCCGCGUGUAUGAAGAAGGCCUUCGGGUUGUAAAGUACUUUCAGCGGGGAGGAAGGUGUUGAGGUUAAUAACCUCAGCAAUUGACGUUACCCGCAGAAGAAGCACCGGCUAACUCCGUGCCAGCAGCCGCGGUAAUACGGAGGGUGCAAGCGUUAAUCGGAAUUACUGGGCGUAAAGCGCACGCAGGCGGUCUGUCAAGUCAGAUGUGAAAUCCCCGGGCUCAACCUGGGAACUGCAUUCGAAACUGGCAGGCUAGAGUCUUGUAGAGGGGGGUAGAAUUCCAGGUGUAGCGGUGAAAUGCGUAGAGAUCUGGAGGAAUACCGGUGGCGAAGGCGGCCCCCUGGACAAAGACUGACGCUCAGGUGCGAAAGCGUGGGGAGCAAACAGGAUUAGAUACUCUGGUAGUCCACGCCGUAAACGAUGUCGACUUGGAGGUUGUGCCCUUGAGGCGUGGCUUCCGGAGCUAACGCGUUAAGUCGACCGCCUGGGGAGUACGGCCGCAAGGUUAAAACUCAAAUGAAUUGACGGGGGCCCGCACAAGCGGUGGAGCAUGUGGUUUAAUUUCGAUGCAACGCGAAGAACCUUACCUACUCUUGACAUCCAGAGAACUUUUCCAGAGAUGGAUUGGUGCCUUCGGGAACUCUGAGACAGUGCUGCAUGGCUGUCGUCAGCUCGUGUUGUGAAAUGUGGGUUUAAGUCCCGCAACGAGCGCCAACCCUUAAUCCUUUUGUCGCCAGCGGUUCCGGCGGGAACUUCAAGGAGACUGGCAGUGAAUAAACUGAGACGGGUGGGGGAUGACGUCAGUCAUCAUGGUCCUUACGAGGUAGGGCUUCCACCACCGGUGUCCUCAUCACCA